CUGGGACAGAAGAUGAAUAGGGACUGGGAAUUUCCCCUGGGAAGGCAGUGACUGGGAAUUUCUUCUGGGAAAGCAGUAACUGGGAGUUUGUGGGGCAGGGGAUGGAUGGGACUGAGAGUUUCCUUUGAGAAACCAGUGACUGGGAAUCUGUGGGACUGGGAAUUUUCUCUGGAGAGGCAGUGACUGGGAAUAUGUAGGGCAGAGGAUGGAUGAGAACUGGAAUUUCCCUUGGAGAGGCAGUGACUGGGAGUCUGUGGGGCAGAGGAUGGAUGGAUGGAUGGAUGGAUGGAUGGAUGGAUGGAUGGAUGGAUGGAUGGAUGGAUGGAUGGAUGGAUGGAUGGAUGGAUGGAUGGACGGUCCCGGCACCGGCACGCCAUGGCCAGGAAACGGGGAGAGGGCGGUCGCUUCUUCUCCCCCAAGGAAAAGGACAGCCCUCACAUGCAGGAUCCAUCUCAAAGCAACGAAGAAGCAAUGACACAGAUGAUCAGGGUCUCCUAACCCCUGCUUCCAGGGAAAAACACCUGAAGGGAAUUCCCAUCCCUCCUGCCAGCCUGCCCUGCCUGCCCAGAGUGCCCAGUGAACCCUGGAGUGGGACAAUCUCCAUGUCACAGCCUGUCCUUUUCCACAGAGCAAGCACCACGUGUUGAGGACGUGCUUGAGGUUCCAACUCAUCCAACAGAACCUUUCAGACUCCUUGGUGCCCUCUCCUGAUCCAGCACAGGGAAUUCAGAGUCCGAGCGCUCAUCUCUGGUUUUCCUUCAUUUUCCCACCUCAGUCCCUGUGGCUGGUGCAGCUCAGCCCUGUCCAGGGACAGAUUCCAGCUCCUCCAGCAGCACUGAGGGCUGGGGUUGAGAUUUGUUAUUCCAUCCACUCCUCUCCCCUUUGGACUUGGUUUUCCCUGAGCUGGGCAUUGCUGUUGCACUUCUGGCCCUGGCAGAAACUGAAGGGGAUUCUUUUCAAUUCCACCUUGUACAUGUGUAAAGAAGCUCUUCUCUGGGAAAGGUUCAGCCAUCCAAUCAAUGCUAGAAAUAGUCAAGAUUACUGCAGGACUUGAUGUGUUGUGUCUCUGUUGCAAGUGGGGUGGGAGAGGGAGAUGUGGGGGGGAUUGGGUCAGUAAAUCAGUCUCUGGCUGGGUUUGGAUGUUCAUUGCCAGUACUUGUUGCUUUGGAAGAAAACUGGAUGUGAGUAUAGAAAGGAUUGAAACUUUUCAGUGACUCUCUUCCAAAGAAUUUUUUUUUUUAAUCCUUUUUUUCUCAACUGCCAGUGAAGUGCAUGGUUCCUCCAAGAGACGUGGAACCCUCAGUGUCACAGUGGUGGCACUUGGCCGUGGCCGGGAUGGAGUUUCUGAUGCCUAAAUCAUUUCUACAGUUGCAGAGUGAGGACUGAUUCAGGACAGCAGCAGCUGGGGCAGCUCAGCCUGAGCUACCUGAAGGACUCAGCAGAUACUGAUGAACCUUUCAUGCUUUUUAUAAAUUAAGCUCUUAAAAACAAAACAGAAGUUGCACUUAGCAAAGGAGCAAUACUUACAUUAUUAAAAAAUAGGAUUUUUCCCAUGACCUACAGCUGGCUUUGUCUGAGCAUCUCCACAGAACAGAGUUUUAAUUUAGAUUCUAAGCCUGCUCUGUUAUAAUUUGAAUUUUGGUGAUGGGAGCAGUAGUUAAAAGCAUUUAACAGGUGAUUGCUCACCUUGAUGAGUUACACAGCUGCUCUGGGGAUCAUCUACCUGCUGGAGUCCCAGAAUUUCCAGUUUUUUGUGUCCUGUAGCUCAAACUGGAUCACAGCAGUGAAAUUUGGGGUGGGGAAUGUGCUGGGUGAAUGUGAACCUGGCCAGGGGAAGCUGAAGAGUGAGGAAAUGCUGCCAGGGAUGGGUGAGACUGGGUUCAGUGCAGUGAAUGCUGAAUUCAAGUGACAAGGAAAUGCAGCUUGGAAAUGAUAUUUCCUCCCUCCCAUCUUUUCCCAUUUACUGGAACCUUAUGGCUAAAGACAAAGUGGAGGACAAAUCGAGAGGAUACAAAAGAACAGGGCCUGGAAAAUGCAAUUUCCUUUGGAUGAAAUAAAAAUACUGAGAAGGGAGGAGGAAUGUUGGAUCCUUGGAGUGAGCAGGCAGUCCUGGAGGAAGAGGGAGCCUGUUGAGGUGGAAGAACAAGGAGCAGCUGCAGAGGGGUUUGGGAUUGGAUCUCCAAAAGCAGCUCAGCUCCUUGCUGUGCUCCUGGUUCCUGUCCCUCCCCACAGCUGGGAAGGACACUCAGGGACACCUGCAGGAGGAGCUGGCCUGGCUCCUGGCAGGCAAAUAAAUCUCCUUCCUUUCAGUUUUUGUCCCAGGUUAGAUGAGUAAUCUGCCACUCUGCUCACGGCUCUUAAUUAGGAUUUAUUUCUAAUAAUUCCAAGGGCAUUUUUAACAUUGAUGGAUCCUCAGGGCCUUGGUUGCUUCUGCCUUAAAUCCUUGUCAAGUUCCAGCGCUGGUUUUGCUCAGCUGGCACCUGAAACUCACCCAGCAUUUCCUGGGCUCUCCCCAUGCCAGGAAUGUGCAGCUCUCCUUAAGGGAUUUUAGUUGAAUUUGCAGCAUUACUGUAAAUAUUUUUUUUGGAGCAUCUGUACAUUUUGUUGGUGGAAUAUUUGCGUGCUGGAGUAAGACUCUCUCCGUGAUAUUUUUUGCUCUUCAGUUGAUGUUAAAUCUCUGUCCUGAAACAUCUUUAUGAGAGCUGGAAAUUCAGGAAGCAAGAUUAUUGCUCUGACAUAGAUUUUGUUUCAUUUUUAAAAUAAAAAUUUACUUUUCUUAAAGAACUUGUAAACUUUUUCCCAAUAUCCCUUCAUAUCUAGGUUCUCUGAUCUGCUGUUGUAGGUUGUGUGUGAAGAAAUAAGGAUUUGUGUUCUAGAAAGUCUUACUGUUAAUAUUUUUAAAUAGUGAUGUGAAAGCCCAAGUGCUCCUAUCAUUUUUUUUUUAAAUUUGUUUUGUGUUCUGUGUAUCACUGCUGAAAGUUGUGUUUAUUUGGUGAGGUUGGAGCCAGCAGUCAACACCACGGUACCAGAAAUAUCUGUUUUCUUUUCCAGGCAAAUCUGUGAAAACUGGAGACAUGUUCAGUUCAAAACCUCCCUAGUAAUUAAAUUAAAAUUCUUUGUAGAUUGGCUACACUUGAGUAAAAACUUCACUUUAGGGGUGAGGAUGAAAGAAGAGGUUUGGGGAGAAAUGUGUUUGAUUGACCCAGAGCAGUGAAGCAUCAAAACCCAGAUUUAUAGGAGUGUAAAGAUCAGGAUUUGGAAGAAAAUGGUCCUCAAGUGAUGCUAAAUGCAUGUUAAAAAAGAGGGGAAAAAAUAAACUUUUCUUUGUGAAGGGGCGUGGGAGGGUCCUGAGCUUAAUGUAAUGUCAGGCAAAGUUUGUACAUAGUUCAAAGUUUUUAAUUUUUUUUAUAUGAUGCAUUUUUUCAAGUGUAUUUUGGUCUUUAAUAGAUGCAAUUGUAAGUACUGUGUACACUCUCCAGCUAAUAAAAUUUAUAAACUGAGAAGCUUUUGCUCUUUGUUGGGAAUUUUGUGUUGGGCCGUGGGAGGGCAGCACAAACUCCACACCAACAUUUCACCAUCUCAAAACCCCCCAGAGCACAG
ensembl:lncRNA